rnacentral:rRNA from 1 species
GGCCCUUUGGGUCCACCUCCCACCCGUGUUUAUUUACCUCGUUGCUUCGGCGGGCCCGCCUUAACUGGCCGCCGGGGGGCUCACGCCCCCGGGCCCGCGCCCGCCGAAGACACCCCCGAACUCUGCCUGAAGAUUGUCGUCUGAGUGAAAAUAUAAAUUAUUUAAAACUUUCAACAACGGAUCUCUUGGUUCCGGCAUCGAUGAAGAACGCAGCGAAAUGCGAUACGUAAUGUGAAUUGCAAAUUCAGUGAAUCAUCGAGUCUUUGAACGCACAUUGCGCCCCCUGGUAUUCCGGGGGGCAUGCCUGUCCGAGCGUCAUUGCUGCCCUCAAGCCCGGCUUGUGUGUUGGGCCCCGUCCUCCGAUUCCGGGGGACGGGCCCGAAAGGCAGCGGCGGCACCGCGUCCGGUCCUCGAGCGUAUGGGGCUUUGUCACCCGCUCUGUAGGCCCGGCCGGCGCUUGCCGAUCAACCCAAAUUUUUAUCCAGGUUGACCUCGGAUCAGGUAGGGAUACCCGCUGAACUUAAGCAUAUCAUAAAGGGAAAGGAAAAAUUCCG